UACGGAGGGUGCAAGCGUUAAUCGGAAUUACUGGGCGUAAAGCGUGCGCAGGCGGCGAUGCAAGACCGAUGUGAAAUCCCCGGGCUCAACCUGGGAACUGCAUUAGUGACUGCAUCGCUGGAGUGCGGCAGAGGGGGAUGGAAUUCCGCGUGUAGCAGUGAAAUGCGUAGAUAUGCGGAGGAACACCGAUGGCGAAGGCAAUCCCCUGGGCCUGCACUGACGCUCAUGCACGAAAGCGUGGGGAGCAAAC
rnacentral:rRNA from 1 species